rnacentral:rRNA from 1 species
CCUACGGGUGGCAGCAGUGAGGAAUAUUGGUCAAUGGGAGAGAUCCUGAACCAGCCAAGCCGCGUGAGGGAAGACGGCCCUAUGGGUUGUAAACCUCUUUUGUCGGAGAACAAAACCCGGGACGUGUCCCGGACUGCGUGUAUCCGAAGAAAAAGCAUCGGCUAACUCCGUGCCAGCAGCCGCGGUAAUACGGAGGAUGCGAGCGUUAUCCGGAUUUAUUGGGUUAAAAGGGUGCGUAGGCGGUCCGUUAAGUCAGCGGUAAAAUUGCGGGGCUCAACCCCGUAGAGCCGUUGAAACUGGGAGACUUGAGUUUGUGAGGAGUAAGCGGAAUGGGUGGUGUAGCGGUGAAAUGCAUAGAUAUCGGGAAGAAAUCCGAUUGCGAAGGCAGCGUACCGGCGCCAGACUGACGCUGAGGCACGAAAGCGGGGGGAUCGAACAGGAUUAGAUACCCCUGUAGUC